UACGUAGGGUGCAAGCGUUGUCCGGAAUUAUUGGGCGUAAAGAGCUCGUAGGCGGUCUGUCGCGUCGGUCGUGAAAACUUGGGGCUUAACCCUGAGCUUGCGGUCGAUACGGGCAUGACUGGAGUUCGGCAGGGGAGACUGGAAUUCCUGGUGUAGCGGUGAAAUGCGCAGAUAUCAGGAGGAACACCGGUGGCGAAGGCGGGUCUCUGGGCCGAUACUGACGCUGAGGAGCGAAAGUGUGGGGAGCGAACAGG
rnacentral:rRNA from 1 species